ACAGUAUUUCACACUAAAACGUCGCUUUAACCUUCCGGGGUUGCUAAGUCUCAACAACAAUCUGACAUCUGAUUCAUUCCACUUCCACACAUUUCCGAUCUCUUUCAAUUCAAUUAUCAGACAACAGUGAAUCAAGGCGGAAGAAAGGAGCGAGGGAUGCCUCAGAGCGCAGGACGAGACCACACGUUCAGCACGCGCGUGCGUUCUUUGCAGACAAUUUUCAGGCUAUUGUUGUAAGGAGAAUAAUGGGCUUCGUGGGUGAACUGAUGCCACUAAUUCUGGCUCUUUGUUUGACAGUUUCAGGAACCAACGCUCAAUGUCAGAAGGAACAGGAGGCCUUCAUGGGAUGUCUUUAUGACCAUAUAGGGUCAUUUGUACCCCUGAUGGAGGUCUCUUUCUGUGACAGAAAUCUCAUAACAGAAGAUCUUUGCCAGACAUUUUCCACUAUCGUGCGAUGUGUCAAUAAUGUCAAGACCUCAGCCACGUGCAGGCGUGAUGCUGUCACUCAAAUCACGGAAUCAAAUGAAUUUUGCUUGUAAGUUGAACGACUUGCAGGAGAAGUGUACAAAGGCUCCUGCCCUCGACACAGGGGAGGUUAUCCAGACUACCAUAUCUUCAUCAAAAAGUAAGAGUGAUCCUUCAAAUGGUUUACAAC